CCAUGGAAAGAACCAUUGAAUGUUACACAUUAAACAAGUCUAAUAUCAUUAGAAUUACUUUCCUAAUUAGAUGACAGUUGUGCAGAAGAUUCUGACCUUAUUUGAGGCUUACAUAUAGGUUUGGAGAUGUGGAAAGGAGUGGAAAAAGAAAUAUGUAAGCUGAAGUGCCAAACUCACACUGAAAUAAAGGGCAUGGCCUACCAGCUGACAAGGAGUGUCUGGUUUCAAGAUGGCAAAUGACCCUAAACAUGAUAGACAAAUACGUUUUACAUAGGUACAUGCACAGAUAGGCACAUAUAAAUCCACAUUUGCAAGCAAAAAGUGGAACCUGUAAAGCAGAAUUUCUGAGGAAUCUCUAAAAGACUAAUACUAUAUGGAAUUUGAAGAGGAAACCCAGAGCAGAAGCACAUAGUGAAGUACUGCCACAAAGAUGUGUGACGCCACUAAAGGUGCUCUAGACCCACAAGAAAGGAAAACUGGGAGCAGGACAACUAUCUGGAUAUUGACUGCACAUGCCAAUAUCUCAGUCAGACUAACAGAAUCAGAGCUUUAGGCAGAGAAAUGAAUGGUUGGAGAGAGAAGGCAAUGCCCAGGUGCCCUGCUUUGAAAUGUCCCGCCCAUCCCCAAAUUAGUCUGAAAAUUUCAAAUGUUGUAUAAAUUCCCUUCCCAUCAAAAGUGUCCCAUAAACAGCAGUGGUAGAAGAGUUUUAACUGAGUAUCACAGCUUCAAUGAUGAGUAUAGAAAACUCCAAAAAUCUGAAUACCAACACAAUCAAAAAAGAGGUACAAACCACAAGUGGAAGAACCAUCUCAAGAAAUAAUGAAGCAUUCAUGGAAUACAGAUUAGCAACUCUUUAAAACAGUAUUGCCAAGAGAAACAGAUGGCAUUGCAGUUGUCAGAUCUCAUUAAGGUCUUAUAUCUGAAACAGUUCCACUGUCUUCCAUAACUUUCAUAACUUUGAACAUUUUGGCUCAUAGGCGAAAGGGAAUUGCCUUAUUUCGAAUGAGACUUUGGACUGUGGACUUCUGAGUUGAUGCUGAAAUGAGUUAAGACUUUGGGGGACUGCUGGGAAGGCAUGAUUGGUUUUGAAAUGUGAGGACGUGAGAUUUGGGAGGGGUUGGGGUGGAAUGAUAUGGUUUGGCUGUGUCCUCACUCAAAUCUCAUCUUGAAUUCCCACAUGUUGUGGGAGGGAUCGGUGGGAGGUAAUUGACUCACGGGGCCAAGUCUUGCUGUUCUUGUGAUAGUGAAUAAGUCUCACAAGAUCUGAUGGUUUUAAAAAGAGGAGUUCCCCUGCACAAGUUCUCUCUCUUUGCCUACUGCCAUCUACGUUAAGACAUGACUUGCUCCUCCUUGCCUUCCACCAUGAUUGCAAGGUAUCCCCAGCCAUGUAGAACUGUAAGUCCAUUAAAUCCUUUUUCCUGUAUAAAUUACCCAGUUUCAGGUAUGUCUUUAUCAGCAGCAUGAAUAUGGACUAAUACAGAAAUUAAAAUGAUGCCUGACACAUAAUUGCUUAAUAAAUAUUAGCUAUUAUUAUUUGACAUU